rnacentral:rRNA from 1 species
GGAUAAGCCUGGGAAACUGGGUCUAAUACCGGAUAUGACCUCAGGUUGCAUGACUUGGGGUGGAAAGAUUUAUCGGUGCAGGAUGGGCCCGCGGCCUAUCAGCUUGUUGGUGGGGUAAUGGCCUACCAAGGCGACGACGGGUAGCCGACCUGAGAGGGUGACCGGCCACACUGGGACUGAGACACGGCCCAGACUCCUACGGGAGGCAGCAGUGGGGAAUAUUGCACAAUGGGCGAAAGCCUGAUGCAGCGACGCCGCGUGAGGGAUGACGGCCUUCGGGUUGUAAACCUCUUUCAGCAGGGACGAAGCGCAAGUGACGGUACCUGCAGAAGAAGCACCGGCUAACUACGUGCCAGCAGCCGCGGUAAUACGUAGGGUGCAAGCGUUGUCCGGAAUUACUGGGCGUAAAGAGUUCGUAGGCGGUUUGUCGCGUCGUUUGUGAAAACCAGCAGCUCAACUGCUGGCUUGCAGGCGAUACGGGCAGACUUGAGUACUGCAGGGGAGACUGGAAUUCCUGGUGUAGCGGUGAAAUGCGCAGAUAUCAGGAGGAACACCGGUGGCGAAGGCGGGUCUCUGGGCAGUAACUGACGCUGAGGAACGAAAGCGUGGGUAGCGAACAGGAUUAGAUACCCUGGUAGUCCACGCCGUAAACGGUGG